CUGACAUAAUUGGUGUUGGUGGCAUCCCUGGAGUCGGAGGAGUACCUGGAGUCGGAGGAGUACGUGGAGUCGGAGGUUUACCUGGAGUCGGUGGCCUCCCUGGAGUCGGAGUUGUACCUGGAGUCGGUGGUAUCCCCGGAGUCGGAGGCGUACCUGGAGUCGGAGGCAUACCUGGAGUCGGUGGUAUCCCUGGAGUCGGAGUUGUACCUGGAGUCGGAGGCAUACCUGGAUUUAGUGGAGUGCCUGGUAUAGGAUAUGGAUCUGAGGCUAAAGCCCGUAAAUAUGGUACGAACCUGCCAUACUGUUGCUGUGUUGAAAGUUCUUAUAAGUUUUUUCUGUUUUCCAUCCCUCUUCCUUAUGUUCUGUAAUACCUGAGCGAUUCUGUACUUUAAUCCUCACUACUUGAGACUAAUGCUGCUAAAUAUGGUACUUGUUGCAUUUGUCACACAAGAAAACAAAUGCAUUUAUACAAACUUUUUGUAAGACUGACCAGAGCUAGUGGGUGUGUUCUCUCUUGGGGCAUUACCAAGUACAGGUGAUAUAAUUGGUGCUGGUGGAGUACUCAGAGUCGGUGGCAUCCCUGGAGUUGGCGGCGUGCCUGGAGUCGGAGUCGGCGGCGUGCCUGGAGUCGGAGUCGGCGGCGUGCCUGGAGUCGGAGUCAGAGUCGGAGGCGUGCCUGGAGUCGGAGUCGGAGGCGUGCCUGGAAUCGGAGGUGUGCCUGGAGUCAGUGGCCUCCCUGGAGUCGGUGGCGUACCUGGAGUUGGAGGUGUACCUGGUAUAGGCUAUGGCUCUGGGGCUAAAGCUCUUAAAUAUGGUGUACCUGGAGUCAGUGGAGUACCUGGAGUCGGUGGCAUCCCUGGAGUCGGAGUUGUACCUGGAGUCAGUGGAGUACCUGGAGUCGGAGGAGUAGCUGGAGUCAGUGGCCUGCCUGGAGUCGGAGGCAUACCUGGACUUAGUGGCGUGCCUAGUAUAGGAUACGGAUUUGGGGCUAAAGCACGUAAAUAUGGUGAUAUAAUUGGUGCUGGUGGAGUACUCAGAGUCGGUGGCAUCCCUGGAGUUGGCGGCGUGCCUGGAGUCGGAGUCGGCGGCGUGCCUGGAGUCGGAGUCGGAGGCGUGCCUGGAGUCGGAGGCGUGCCUGGAGUCGGAGUCGGAGUCGGCGGCGUGCCUGGAGUCGGAGUCGGAGUCGGAGGCGUGCCUGGAGUCGGAGUUGGAGGCGUGCCUGGAGUCGGAGUCGGAGGCGUGCCUGGAGUCGGUGGCCUCCCCGGAGUCGGUGGCGUACCUGGAGCUGGAGGUGUACCCGGAGUUGGAGGUGUACCUGGUAUAGGCUAUGGUUCUGGGACUAAAGCUCGUAAAUAUGGUUAGUACUUGUCACAUUUGCUGUGUUAAGAGUUCUUGUAAGUUCUUUGUAUUUUCCAUCCCUCUUCCUUAUGUUCUAUAAUACCUUAACAAUUCUGUACUUCAGUCAUCAGUACUUGAGGCAGAUGCUGCUAAAUAUGGUACUUUUUUGCUUUUCGCACAUGAGAAAACAAAUGCAUUUAUGCAAUGUUUUUGUAAGAUUGACCGGAACUAAUGUGCGUGCUCUCUCGGGGCAUUACCAAGUACAGCUGACAUAAUUGGUGCUGGUGGCAUCCCCGGAGUCGGAGGAGUACCUGGAGUCGGAGGAGUACCUGGAGUCGGAGGUGUACCUGGAGUCGGAGGAGUACCUGGAGUCGGUGGCAUCCCUGGAGUCGGAGGAGUACCUGGAGUCGGAGGAGUACCUGGAGUCGGAGGUGUACCUGGAGUCGGAGGAGUACCUGGAGUCGGUGGCAUCCCUGGAGUCGGAGGAGUACCUGGAGUCGGAGGUAUAUCUCAAGUUAGUGAAGUACCUGGAGUCGGAGGUGUAUCUGGAGCUGCUGGAGUACCUGGAGUCGCUGGCGUACCUGGAGCUAGAAGUGUGCCUGGGAUGGGUGGACUACCUGGAGUCGGAGAAAUACCUGGUGCAGGAUAUGGAUCUGGGACUAAACCUUUUAAAUAUGGGAAGAUUUUUUAAAAUCUUGGAUUAACUUUGUGUAAUGUCUGUUAAAACUGAACGGAAUACUAUUAUACACAGAGUGGUACAUAUGUCCAUUUGUACUUGCAGGUAGAGUUCCAGGUGGUGGAUUUGCAGGGGGCUUAGCAGGAGGACUUCCAGGAGGAAUGCUAGGAGGUAACUAAAGCUGUAGUUACACACUUCCCUUUUUAACAGAAAUUCAGAGACUAUUUUUUUAAAUUAUUUCAAUGCUAUGACAAACUUUUCAUGAACACCUGCAAUAGUGUUUUUUUUUGUUUUUGAUUUAAAAAUAUAUAAACAAUGUUAUGAAUUAUGUACUGUAGAGGUGUAAAAUAGGAUUACCCAAGAAUCAUGUGUCUGCAUCCAAAUCUCUCCUUCUGUUGAUGUCAUGCACUUUUUGUAUUCUCCAUGAUGUACGUUGCUUUGGGGAAAAGUGUCUGCUAACUGAACACCUGUAAUUGUAAAUGUAAUAUUACAUGCAGAUUAAGGUUUGCAUUUUUUUAAUUCAAGCAGGUAGUGCUGGAGGAAUUCAAGGAACUGAAAUAGCCAGAUUGAAGCAGCAGACAGAAGCUGAUUGUAUUCUGGCUGAGCAUUUUUUAGAACUAGUUUUCUUCGGUGUUUAUAAAUAAACUGAAUAAAUGGUGUGUAAGAAUAUUCUGU
ensembl:lncRNA